rnacentral:lncRNA from 1 species
GACCAAACUUUUCACUCUCCUCUGCGCUCUCUUGUAGCUGAAAUGCAAACUCUAGAUCACGAAUCACAUCACUCAUGGAUGGCCUUUGGGCUCCGUCAUCAUUCAAGCAUCUAAUUGCAACCUCAGCAAAUUUGUUCAAGCUUUCAUUUGAUAUCUUACCCUUCAAAAGCGGAUCAACAAUCUCAUCAAUGGUUCCAUUGCGAUAACAUUGUUCAGCCCAAACAGCUAAACUCGCUUGAUUCCUUUCCAUUGUCCGAAUAAUAGGUGGUCGAGCGCACAAUGCUUCCAAUAACACAACGCCAAAUGAGUAGACAUCGGAUUUUUCCGUUAGCUGCUGAAGUCGAUAAUACUCAGGAUCUAAGUACCCGAUGCUCCCCUUCACUAUAGUACUGACAUGAGUUUUGGACAUGGAAUUGGGUCCAAAUUUGGACAGUCCAAAAUCAGAAACCUUGGCCACCCAUUUCUCAUCCAACAAGAUAUUCGUUGUCUUCACAUCCCGAUGAAUGAUAACUUGCUUCGCCCCAGUAUGCAGAUACUGCAGCCCACGAGCCGCGCCUAUGCAAAUGCCAAGCCGUUGACUCCAUGGAAGAGGAGGAUUAUUGCUGUCAUAGAGAUGAUCCCGUAGCGUCCCACGAGCCAUGAAAUCGUACACAAGGAUCAUCUCCCCGUCAUCAUUGCAGUAACCAAUGAGAGUGACCAAAUGAAUGUGUAUUAGUUGGGAGAGCAUCUCUAUCUCUGUCUGGAAUUCCAGUGCACCCUGUUGUGACCCUGGAAUCAGCCGUUUGAUCGCAACAGGAGUGGCGCCACCGUUGAUAAACCCUUUGUAUACGUUACCAAAUCCUCCAACUCCAAUAAUGAGACCAGCAUCAAAGUUGUUUGUUGCUGCUUUGAUUUCGGAUAGUGAAAAGUGAGUACAGAGAUCGGACGUUAGAGAUGAGCCACGAGACUUCCUUGAAUUUGUCUUAGAAGUAGAAAAACGUCUCCAGAAAAAAAUUGAAAGAGAAAUUGCAACAAAACCUGACAUAAGUCCACCGACAAUGGAAAUUGUAGUUGCCAUGAUAUUCUUGGAUUUCCUUGAUUGUGAGCUUGGCAUUUCCUGUGGCACAAUGGAAGGUUCGUUAUUCCGAGUUUCGCUGAUCAGAGGUUCAGGAUUAGAUCCGGCAAGAUUUCCAUAGUUGUCCACUUUAAAAAUUUCAAUCCCGUUCAAGAUAGAAUCAGAAUACUUGGUCCUCCGUCGGGGAGCAGGGUGUAGUGCAACAGAGAGAUUCUGCUUCUUUUCAUUUCCUUUUGCUCCAAUAAUUACUGCAUAGUCUCUGUAGAUGGGAACGCCGUUUGCUCCACCCCAAAUUAUGAUGUCUGCUUCAGCUCCUGCAAUUAGAUUAGCUACAUAGAUCCGGAACACUCUGUCGCCGGGCUUUGUUACCUCUUGCUGAAACUCGCAAAAAUGAAGCCUGAGAAAAUAUGUGAACCCAGAAUCCACUUGAAACUCCCAAGUGAGACUAUACUCCUCGUUUUUUAUCCUAUCAUUGCCCAUUGACCUGCAGCUUUUGUAGACAACAGCCGGAGCAGUGUAAUUAUUUAUUUUGCUAAAUUGGAGGACAACACUAAUGUUAAACGCAAGAGCACUGGGUCUGGCAUCUGUCAAGUAGUCGUCAUCCCUACUCCAGGUUCGAAACAUGCCUGUGUCAUCCAGCUGUGAAAUCGGAUUCCCACCAACAUUUAUUCGGUAUAACGUCUCGAGGGAAGUACUGUUUAUGAUUCCGUAUUGGUUCCCCUGGCCAACGAACUCGAAACCUGGGUCAUUGGCGGCUGUAUAAUAAAGAUUCGGUGGCAUGGAUACUAUUUCAAUUCCGUUGAUGAAAGCAUAUGAAUCUUUGUAAUCUGGACUUGCCAUGAGCGUUAUGUUCAAGAACCUCUGACCUUCUUCGACGUUAAUGCAAAAUUCUUUGAAAAACAAAUCCUUGCCCAAAGCAUCGGCUGUGAGUGAAGCACUGAAGUUGCUAAGAAGGGUAAAAGAACCGGCUUUAACGGAGAAGAAAGCUUUAGAACUGUUAAAACCUGAAUAUGAGGUUGAAUAGAAAUACAGACGGAUGAAUUUUUGACCCGCGGUGAGGUUGAAUGUGUAGGUGAACUGCGACUGAGAAAGCCGUACUGCUGAAUACGGGGGCUGCUGAGGAGCGGUGAAGGUUCUUGAUGCCUCAUUUUCCGGCUCCGAGGGCGAGUAUUCAGAGUUUAUAUCUCCAAUCCAGGUUCGGUAAUCUAGAGUACCGGAGGAGCCAGUCGAGCCACAAGCAAGAAAUAUGCUCUCUGUGGGUUUGUAAAGAGUGACUGAGUCAUCGGAGAAGGCGAAAGCCAUUGGGUGGAUGAAGAAUAAGAUGUAAAAUGGGGUGAGACAACUGCUGCCAGUGUCCUCCAUGAUGGUUACUGAGAUCUAACAGGCUAAAACAUUUGCAGAUUUUACUGAAAAUCAUGCGCUAAACGCAUGAGUAAAACGCGUCAAUGCUCAGCCGCCCUUAACGAAAGGUAGAAGUUGGUGGGUCUUGGUCUUUGGCAACUGGCAAUUUGGCAUCACUCAUAAAGAAUUUUUUUUUUUUAAUCACAAUGACAUUUGAAAUACCAAUACGUAUUAGCGAGCUAUUACAUCAAUUUAUUAAGCCAAAGGUUACAAUCUAUUAUGACCAUAUAUUUUUUUAAUUACAGUUUCAUUUUUAAACAUAUACCUCUUAAAAUUCUAGAAUGGAGUGCUAGUUUAAGAACUAACGUGAAUACGAACUUUAUUUAAUUUUUGAAGGGGGAAAAAAAGGCAAACAGUGUUUAUGAUAGACAUCAAGAUCGAUAUAAUCCACCAUAGUAUACUUAUAAGCAAACAAUUAACAUCUUAUGACCAUGACCAUUGACCAGGAGUGUAUAGUAGUUCAUAAGGAUACUUUCAUAGUGAAUAUACCUUGCCUCCAGUAACUGUGUUCACAAUAGACUAGGGUUAUAAUUGGAACACUCCUCCUGCUCUCUUCCCUCUCUAUUUACCUCCUUCAGCUCUUUGAGCUCACCCUUGACUGCCAUAGUUGGCUCCAUGAGAGAUGCUCCGCACAAUUCGGUUUAUAGUCUAAUUAACUUUCUUUAAGUUGAAUCUCGGAAACUUAAGAUCUGAAAGAACCUCACUGCACAACGAACAAAAAUAUAUUUUAAAAAAACUAAUUAAAAUAUUAACCAAACUUUAGUUUAAAAAAAUAAAUAAAAUUAUUUUGUAAUCAACAAAGUGUCAUCAUGAUGUGGUGCCAUGGUUCCGGUGGUCCUUUUGUAAUCAAACAUUCUGGUCUUGCCUUAACAUUUCACCUCUCAUAGAACCACUUCUUUUGGAGCUGCCGGAAUACACUCCGCUUCCUCUUCCCCAAUCUAAUGCCCCCCUCAACCCUCGGAGUUAAACGAAAUCCUUUAUUUUAUAAGACUAAGCUCUUUGAAAAGUUCACCAUAUCUAGUGUAACUUCAUUAUCACCAAUCUCGAGAUGUUUAAAAGCCAGUUCAUUAAGGUCAUAAGAAACCAGCUCUCCACUAAUCACUAACAUUCCAAAGUCACUGUUUGAGGAAUUAAAUAGAGCGACCAUAAUCUCCUCCAAGUGAAAGUGAGCAAAUGGUUGAGCAGGUCACCUUGACUAGGUGGUAUGAGCUUGAGCAGAUCACCUCGACCAGGUACAAUGAGGUUGAGCAGAUCGCCUUGACCAGGUGGUGUGAGCUUGAGCAGAUGACCAUGUGGUAUGAGCUUGAGCAAAUCACCUCGACCAGGUGCUAUGAGCUUGAGUAGAUCACAUCGACCAGGUGCUAUGAGAUAGAGCAGAUCACCUCGACCAGGUGCUAUGAGCUUGAGCAAAUCACAUCGACCAGGUGCUAUGAGGUGGAGCAGACCACCUCGACCAGGUGCUAUGAGCUCGAGCAAAUCACCUUGACCAGGUGCUAUGAGCUCGAGCAGAUCACCUCGACCAGGUGGUCUAAACUUGAGCAGAUCACCUCGACCAGGUGAUGACCAGGAAUAAAGACUCAGUUAAAAUAAACCACCACAAAGCUCUUCCAAAAAAGCAGGGCACGAAUUUGAUCAAUUAAUGGUUAUUGUCACGAUCUAAGGUCGUGGGUGUGAGGUGUUUUAUAAAGACCCCGAGAAAACCACGCGGAGAGGGAGGGCUCUUUUUCCCUUGAUCUGACUGAGAAAUUCUUUCUGGAGACUCUACUUUACUUUUCUGCAAAUUAUUCAAAAAGCUUUCAGUUUUAAGGCAAUGUUUAUCAAGCCAUAUGAGAAAUGGCAUAUUUGGUUUUUCCUUUAAAUCCCAUUACUGACUUGAGCGUCGGAGGGUUUAAGCGGGAAAAACUUCCAGCACCUCUGACCAUUCUCUGUAAUUUCAGGUACUUAUUGAUCGUCAGCUUGAAGAUUAUAUGCUCAUGAAUGUUCUGCUCAUAGUUAGAGAAUAUUCUUGGAGAUCAACCAACAGCUUCCCACCAACAAAUUUAAUGCUGAUGCAGGGAUCUGAAACUGAGUCACUAACCAAUUGGUUCAGAUUUCGGCAUCAACAGUCACUAUUGUUGACAAUGCCUAAUGGCCUUACAAUUCUUUCCUCUGGCACAAUCGAGUAUUGUUUAGUCCAAGACUCCACCAUGCCAUACUCCCUCAUCACCCAAAUGUAACAGCCCUCGAUUAGUCUAAGAUUGCUGAUGCUGCAAACAAUCAGGGCAAGUGAUUCUCUUAACACGGCCACAGAAACUUGAGGGCUUUCUCCUUAGCCAUCUUCAUGAUACAUUGGAAGCAUUAUCUCUCCAAACUUCUCAGAAUCAAAAUCAAACAACAUGACAACAUUUGCAGAGGAUUCUUCUCCGGUCUUAGAGGCAAACCAAUGGACAGCUCCAUUGAGAAAUGCUGAUGAAAAUUUAUCAUUUGCAUAGUAUCCAUCAUUAUUUCCAAUUGUUCUCCAUGAAUUCGUUGCUAGUGAAUAUACCUCAACUCUUGGUGGUUUUUUUUCAACAUAUAAUGGCAUAUAAACAUCUCCAAAAUACAUUAUCCUUACAUUAUUUGAGGAUGAUUAUUUGGAAAAUGGAUUAAUUUGAGGAUUAUUAUUAUUUUUUUUUUUUGGAAAUGGAUUAUUUUGCUGAUGANNNNNNNNNNNNNNNNNNNNNNNNNNNNNNNNNNNNNNNNNNNNNNNNNNNNNNNNNNNNNNNNNNNNNNNNNNNNNNNNNNNNNNNNNNNNNNNNNNNNNNNNNNNNNNNNNNNNNNNNNNNNNNNNNNNNNNNNNNNNNNNNNNNNNNNNNNNNNNNNNNNNNNNNNNNNNNNNNNNNNNNNNNNNNNNNNNNNNNNNNNNNNNNNNNNNNNNNNNNNNNNUGAUUUUUACAGCUUAAGUAAAUAAUUUAUUCUAAUUGUCAUUCCCUAUUCCGAUUCAAGUUUAUUCCGAUUCUAGGCCAUUCCGAUUACUGACAAAUAAACGCAGUAUUUAUUGCUAACAAGUGGCAUAAUUAAAGAGGAAUUAAAAUAUUUAUAUCAUCUUAUAGUUAUCGUUUCAGUUUUGAUUUUAAAUGAUUAGGAAAUAGAUGACUGGAUACUUAAAGAAGAGUUAGAACAUUUUUAUUUUAUGUAUAGUACUUGAAAUUUCUCUACUGACUGUAUCUUCAACUUGUUCAUGUGCAUAUAGCACUACAGCUGGUAGAAACUAUAUAUGACUAAAGCUGGGCUUUAGUUUACUUGAAACGUUAGGAAACUAAAUGUUUAAAUUUAUAUUUAAAAAAAAUGAUGCAAGAUUUAAAAAGUUAAACAUUACCUCAAAUGCAUAGGUUUUAAUAUUUUUCUGAGUGUCACGCGCAUAAGUCAUAACCAUGCGCAUUAACUGUCACUACCGCAAAAGUUGCUGCCACAGAAGAUACUAGAAUCUUUGACGCAAAAUUAAUCACUUCAAUCUUAAAUAUAGCUGAGCCGAUGAUACAUAUACCUCAUCAAAUACUGAGGUGGAUUUAAAAUAUCAUGGACAUACUGCAAUUUAUGUGAGAUAUGAACUUAACAUAAUACAUGGGAGUUUGAACAUGGGACCAUACCAAACGUGUGGGGAAAUAUAAAACAUCUGGCGAUAAAAGGGGCCUUAAUUUAGGGACUAACAAGAUAAUCUUUAAAUGGUAUAAAAUUAAUCCGUGCAAAAUAAUUUGCAAAUGCCAUCACCAACUGUUUGGAUGUGAUUGUGGGAUGAGAUCUUGUCAUUAGCGAAGACUUGUACAAGUCGUCAGCAGAAAGGGCAGAAGUUGUUUUCAAUUUUCAAUGCCUUAUUUUGUCGUCCUUUCUCUGUUUUUAAACCUUUCCAACUUGACUUUUGAACAAGUGGAAGCCGUGUUUUUUUUUUUUGCCCUUUUCCUUCCUCCUCUACUAAUAACCAAACAAAACAGUUACUAACAGUUUGAACAGCAUUUUCGUUUCUACAAAUUUAAAAUUACCCUGAAAAUUUUGAUACUGAAUGCAUGCAUGCAUUCGGAAAUACAUAACAACUGAAUUUAAUUAGUUCAGAUUGGAAAAUAUCAUUCAAAAAUAUAAUUAGAUAAAACUUAAUAUUUAUUCUACUUCACCUGUUCACCAUUCACAAUGUUUAUAUAACAAGUGGUUCGAUGUCUUGGAUUUAGAAAGCAAGCAAUAUUUCAUGAUCCCAUCAUCUCCCUUGUGGGUCAAUGAUCUCAGAGAAGGCAUCUCUACAGAGGGAUCCGCUCUCAGAACAUUUAUUAUUUGAAAGACCCGCCUCAUGACCAAACUUUUCACUCUCCUCUGCGCUCUCCUGUAGCUGAAAUGCAAACUCUAGACCACGAACCACAUCACUCAUGGAUGGCCUUUGGGCUCCAUCAUCAUUCAAGCAGCUAAUUGCGACCUCAGCAAAUUUGUUCAAGCUUUCAGUUGUUAUCUUACCUUUCAAAAGCGAAUCAACAAUCUCAUCAAUGGCUCCAUUGCGAUAACAUUGUUCACCCCAAACAGCUAAACUCACUUGAUUCCUGUCCAUUGUCCGAAUAAUAGGUGGUCGAGCGCACAAUGCUUCCAAUAACACGACGCCAAAUGAGUAGACGUCGGAUUUUUCUGUUAGCUGCUGAAGUCGAUAAUACUCAGGAUCUAAGUACCCGAUGCUCCCCUUCACUAUAGUACUGACAUGAGUU